AGAGCUGUCACUUCCCUCCCCUGUUACAGGUGCUCCACACAGGGGAACUGGCAGCCCUGACGGACGCCUCCUCCCAAGGAUUUAUGGGAAAUGACAGCUCCAGCUAAAUAAAGCCAGAGAGUGGCGAGGGAGGGAAGGACACGGAACUUCCAAACGACCAGCACACAGGGGCUGACACUAUCUGGAAUUUAUUUCCCAAGCUCUGACUGGCAAUUUAGUUCCAAAAUGUGCUAUUCGUACUGUAGGCCUUAGAAACAGAGCAGAGUGGAGCCCCCAGCCCCGGCCUUCUCCUACACACCUCUGUGUUUGUAGGUAAUGGUCUACCAGGUCUUUUUUCCUCUGUGUUUGUGGGUAAUGUUCUACCAGGUCUCUUUUCCUCUGUGUUUGUGGGUACUGGUCUACCAAGUCUUUUUUCCUCUGUGUUUGUGGGUAAUGUUCUACCAGGUCUCUUUUCCUCGGUGUUUGUGGGUAAUGUUCUACCAGGUCUUUUUUUCCUCUGUGUUUGUGGGUAAUGUUCUACCAGGUCUUUCUGCUGGCGAAAAUCACAUUUGCUACAUGGCUGACUCUCAAUGAAUUAUUUCACAUUUCACUUACUUACCUUUUUAAAGGUUAAUCUAUUCUACGUCAAAGGAACAUUUCACAGCUACAAAUGAACGGUCCCCCUUCUUCUAACUAACUCUAAAGGCGUGGAGCAUUGGGGUGCUUAAAAACUCAAUUUCAAACUUCAUAACUUAACCAUUCUGCAGCAUAUCUGAAUGCACACGGAUCGCCAGGCGACUGAUUUUCUUUGCAUUUACAUAUGGACUAUUUUUAAUUGAGCAGAAACUGCUGUGUAAAACAGUGCUGAACUAAUACUGGGGCUGAAAUAUCAUUACACUGAUGGAAGCCGGCCUCUAUGACUUUUAUUGGCAGCAUGCAGAAUAAAUGUUCAAUCCAGACACAUCCAUGGCUGCAGAGGCAGAGUAAUCGACUUUUCAGACAAAAUGGUGUGGAAAAUGACGUGUUAUGCCUAAAUCCAACCUGGUGCACAAAU
ensembl:lncRNA